rnacentral:rRNA from 1 species
CGCCUGUUUAUUAAAAACAUGGUUUUUAUUUUUUAUUAAAAAUUGGACCUGCCCAUUGAUUUUUUUUUAAAAGGCCGCAGUAUUUUGACUGUGCUAAGGUAGCAUAAUCAUUAGUUUUUUAAUUAAAAUCUAGAAUGAAUGGUUUAAUGAGAUAAAUUCUUUUUUAAUUUAAAAUUUGUAAUUUUAUUUUUUAGUAAAAAAGCUAAAAUUAUUAAAAGGGACGAGAAGACCCUAUAGAAUUUUAUAAUAAAUUAUUAAUUUUAAAUUUAUUAAUUUUAUUAUUAUUUAUAAAUUAUUUUAUUGGGGCGAUAGUUAAAUUUUUUUAACUUUUUAUUUUUUAAUCAUUAAUAAGUGUUUAUUUGUUGAUCUUUUUUUAAUGAUUAAAAAAAUAAAUUACCUUAGGGAUAACAGCAUAAUUUUAUUAAAAAGUUCUUAUUUUUAAUAAGGUUUAUGACCUCGAUGUUGGAUUAAAUAAAUUUUUAUAUUAGAUAUAUAAAAAAUAAG